UACGAAGGGGGCUAGCGUUGCUCGGAAUCACUGGGCGUAAAGGGUGCGUAGGCGGGUUCUUAAGUCAGAGGUGAAAUCCUGGAGCUCAACUCCAGAACUGCCUUUGAUACUGAGAGUCUUGAGUACGGGAGAGGUGAGUGGAACUGCGAGUGUAGAGGUGAAAUUCGUAGAUAUUCGCAAGAACACCAGUGGCGAAGGCGCUCACUGGCCCGU
rnacentral:rRNA from 1 species